rnacentral:rRNA from 1 species
UACGGAGGGUGCGAGCGUUGUCCGGAAUCAUUGGGCGUAAAGCGCGUGUAGGCGGCUCGGUAAGUCCGCUCUGAAAGUCCAGGGCUCAACCCUGGGAUGCGGGUGGAUACUGCCGGGCUCGAGUCCGGAAGAGGCGAGUGGAAUUCCCGGUGUAGCGGUGAAAUGCGCAGAUAUCGGGAGGAACACCAAUGGCGAAGGCAGCUCGCUGGGACGUGACUGACGCUGAGACGCGAAAGCGUGGGGAGCGAACAGG